rnacentral:antisense_RNA from 1 species
UGGGAGCUUAAGGGCCCCGGCACGCGUUCCCCUGGCGCAGAGCUCGCUAGCUGGGGCGCGGGCUGCCUUCUUGUUCUGGUGUGAUCCGAAUGUAACGGAGCGGACUUGGGGAUCCAGAACCCCAGACUGAGGUUGUGCUUGGCUUGAGGGGCGGGCUGGAUUUUUCCUCUUAGGAUUUAUUUCCCUGGAGACCUCAUGAAGAAUGAUGUGGGUUCUAUAGGGUACAGUGUGAUCUGGGUCCUGCCAAAUCUCCUUUCUAAACUUCAGAAAAUCAUGUACCUUGGAGUUGUGGAGGCAUGUUUAUAAGCAAAUCUGAGUUUUGCCACACUGGAAUUUAUUUAUUCAUUGAACAAAUAUUUAAUACCUACUACAAUUCUUAGCCGAUAUAUCAGCACAACUUCUCUGCUCCAACUAGUCUCCAUUGCAAAGCAUCUCCUAGUGUCUUUGGAAGAAGGAUCUAUGGUGUUAUAUGUGAACAAAGAUGUAAAGACUAGUAAGAUGUCAAGAUUUGAUGGGGAUAUCCAGACAACUUGGAGCCAAGUCCCCACAGCUGGAUCAGACAACUUUGGUGACAUCUCACAGUGUGGAUUAUCAAGCCAAUGUAUCAGCCUGGAGCCUAGGUUUUUUGCCUUUAGCUUUGCUCAGGAUGACUUCUGCUCUUCUAUGGCAAUACUUGAGAAGCUACAGCUUUGAUUAGACAAGAGGCUAUUUCAAUAACUUUCUGCUGAUAAGAAGACCACCGACCAUGGACGGAUUCUGGCCAGUUUACAAAGGCUGCAUACCAUUGGGCAGGGCACCCCACUAUGGUAAACACUAAUAAUGAUAUUGCUCCUGAUUUUGUUUCUGAAGGGAAUGCCUCUAAGAUUUCUUCAUUAAUUAUGAGAGACUGGGUCUCACUCUGUUGCCC